rnacentral:rRNA from 1 species
UACGAAGGGGGCUAGCGUUGCUCGGAUUGACUGGGCGUAAAGGGCGCGUAGGCGGUUCGUACAGUCAGACGUGAAAUUCCUGGGCUCAACCUGGGGGCUGCGUUUGAUACGUGCGGACUUGAGUGCGGAAGAGGGUCGUGGAAUUCCCAGUGUAGAGGUGAAAUUCGUAGAUAUUGGGAAGAACACGGGUGGCGAAGGCGGCGACCUGGUCCGAUACUGACGCUGAGGCGCGAAAGCGUGGGGAGCAAACAGG